GCAGCUAGAUUCAGGAUAGAUAACCAGCAUAAUUGUCAGAGUCAAGGAGCACAUCUUUCUGUUGGAGCCAAGAGCCAUAUUGUCACUGUAGAGAAUAAAGCUGAACAUCAAAAUGUGACAAGUAAUGUUGAAUCUGAAGCUGUUGUAGGAUGCACAACAAAACUGCUGAUGUCCCGGCUAGAAAACGAAGGUCAGCACUGAGUAAGCUUUUGUUUCAGGACAACAUAAACAGUAAGUCCAGUUCAGAUGAAACACCAUUUUCACAGAGACAGACAGUUGAUGUACUGUACUAGUAUUUGGCUUUUUGUUAGGUGUUCUAUCUGUGAGUGUGUUCUUCUAGGUGAUGUGGGUUAACCUGGGAAUAGAGAAUAACAAUUGUUGUUGCCAUUGCUGCGUUACCUAAGAGUUCAUGUUUUAAGGUGUACCGAAUAAGAGCUGGAUCAACUUUAAUAGGAGCUUAUAGUGCCAACUUCUUUUUUGCAAAAAAAUAUUUAUAUUUUUUUUGAAUUUUCAAAUCCUCAGGUUUAGGGUUUUAGUUGACAAUUUAGUUGAGCUUAAGAACUUCCAAGGGUGGGAUUUCAUAACUAAUGUCACCACUAUUUGGUGGUAUAUUUUUUUUUGGUGCGAAUGAGCCGUAAGGGCAAUAUAAAUUACAAAUGGGGGCGGGGGAUUCAAACCUGAGACCUAUUGUACACAGACCCUCAGUGUUAACCACUAGACCAAGACAUCAUUGGUACUGUUUGGUGGUAUAUUAGUACACUAGAAAUGCUAUUAUCUUUAGAAAUGAAACUAAGUCAAUUUUUGACGGGUAAAGGGAGUAAAGGGUACGUAGGAGAAGUGGAGGCGUAAUAACAUUUGCGUAGAUAUCGUUAUCACAAAAAUUAAGAAUGUUAAAGGUUACACGUACUAAGCAAACGAUCAACUCACUUUCAUAAAGUCUUCAUUCACACACAAAAAAGUAACACUUUCAUAUAUUCCCUUCACUUAAAAUUGGCAAGACUAGGAAAAUCUCUAUCACACACAAAAGGAGAUAAUAAUGGGUGGCAAACAAACAAGUUUAGCAGCAAAACCAGACCCUUUAAACUUUGCUACACCAACAACUUCUUCGUCCCCUUUAUCAUCCAAACCAUCUCCUUCUUCUUCUCCUCCUCCUCUUUCAGUUGAUUCUGUUUUCGGUUCUGUUCCUACUCGACUCGAGGCCGAAUAUGCAAUUACAGCUUUUCAAAGCUUCAUGGUGCAAGGGCUUUUUUCAUCUUUGUCGAUAGUAGAUCGUUUACAGCCUCUUGUGAAUCAUGAUCAUGACCCAAGAAUACUGCAGUCUACUGGAUUUCAAAGGGUUUAUGAUGCCUUUCGUUUGUUACAGACAGUACCGUCUGUUCAAAAAAUGGUAGUGUCCAUAUCAUCUGAUGAACUUGUGUGGGAUGCUGUAAUGAAGAAUAACCAAGUUCAGGAGUUCCGCCAGUCAGUCAAUCAAGCUAAAGCAAGCAGACGUCAGAGGUCUGAUGAGGAACCUAACUUAGUUUCAACAGUUCUGAAAUGGAUUCUGCACAAUAUGAAGCUUACAGUUCUGCAACUAAUCGAGUCGUUAAAGUCAGUAGUCAGCAAGAGCUUUGAGUCCUCUCAGAACGAGGACACAAUCCCAGAAUUGAAAUAUGGGUUCGAGGAAAUGAUUGUCUCGACUGUACUGCUAUCCACCAUCACUCUCAUGAUUGUGCUUGUCACUCGUGCCUACGGAGUAUAACAUGCUUGUGGACUGUGGCUUGUGGCCUGUGGGUACUGGAACUAGAUAGUCAUUUGAUGUUGCGUAUAAGAAUGAAAUCAAAGGAGCCAGGUAGACGGUAGAAAGAUGGAUGGCGUACAAUAGGCAAGUCUAUAUUGUUAAAGCAAAGUGGCGAGGAAUGAGAGUUGAUCAAAAUGCCAUCCAAGCCCCUCAUGCAUUAGGCAUUUUGGAUCAUUGAUCUCGCUUGAUUAAAUUUCAUCCAUUAGAUUCUCCUAAGCCACAUCGCAAUAUUUACCAAGAAGCAUUAGUUAUGUAAUUAAAUAUUCAAUCAAAUCUUAACAUAUAUUACUAAAGUCACUUCU